rfam:Ailuropoda melanoleuca scaffold632_83, whole genome shotgun sequence.
ACCUGGCUGGGUCAGUCAGUAGAGCAUGAGACUCUUGAUCUCAGGCCCAUGAGUUCAAGUCCCAUGUUGGGCA